rnacentral:rRNA from 1 species
CCUACGGGUGGCAGCAGUGAGGAAUAUUGGUCAAUGGCCGGGAGGCUGAACCAGCCAAGUCGCGUGAGGGAAGACGGCCCUACGGGUUGUAAACCUCUUUUGUCAGGGAGCAAAGGGCGCCACGUGUGGCGUUUUGCGAGUACCUGAAGAAACAGCAUCGGCUAACUCCGUGCCAGCAGCCGCGGUAAUACGGAGGAUGCGAGCGUUAUCCGGAUUUAUUGGGUUUAAAGGGUGCGCAGGCGGAAUGUCAAGUCAGCGGUAAAAUUUCGGGGCUCAACCCCGUCGUGCCGUUGAAACUGGCGUUCUUGAGUGAGCGAGAGGUAUGCGGAAUGCGUGGUGUAGCGGUGAAAUGCAUAGAGAUCGCGCAGAACUCCGAUUGCGAAGGCAGCAUACCGGCGCUCAACUGACGCUCAUGCACGAAAGCGUGGGUAUCGAACAGGAUUAGAUACCCUUGUAGUC